rnacentral:miRNA from 1 species
GAGUGGGGAGGAGAGAGGGACAGAGAGCCUGCUUGCUUUAAAGGAGCCAACCGGACAGGAGCCGCUUACACGAGUGUAAGCGGCUCCUCUCCUCUCCUGCUUUGCUCCUUUAAAGCAAGCAGGCUCUCUGUCCCUCUCUCCUCCCCACUCA